rnacentral:rRNA from 1 species
AAAUCAAGCGCGAAAAGGGCGUUUGGUGAAUGCCUUGGCAGUAAGAGGCGAUGAAAGACGUGAUACUCUGCGAUAAGCCAUGGGGAGCUGAGAAUAAGCUUUGAUCCAUGGAUUUCUGAAUGGGGCAACCCACCUGAUACUUUGUUAUUGUUAGCCGCAAGGUUAUCAAUAAUGAGGUUAACCAGGUAUUUAUGACCUGAAUACAUAGGGUUAUAAAGGCAAACCCGGGGAACUGAAACAUCUAAGUACCCGGAGGAAAGGACAUCAAUUGAUACUCCCCUAGUAGCGGCGAGCGAACGGGGACCAGCCGAGCCAUGAAUGUGAAUAGAAUGUGUUGGGAAGCACAGCCAUAGUGGGUGAUAGCCCCGUAUAUGAAGCACGAUUGGACGUAUUAAGUAGGGCGGAACACGUGAAAUUCUGUCUGAAGAUCGGAGGACCACCUUCGAAGGCUAAGUACUCCUUACUGACCGAUAGUGAACCAGUACCGUGAGGGAAAGGUGAAAAGCACCCCGACGAGGGGAGUGAAACAGUACCUGAAACCGAACGCCUACAAUCAGUUGGAGGGGCCUUGCGCCCUGACAGCGUACCUUUUGUAUAAUGGGUCAUCGACUUGGUCUCACGAGCAAGCUUAAGCCGUUAGGUGUAGGCGCAGCGAAAGCGAGUCUUAAUAGGGCGUCGAGUUCGUGGGAUCAGACCCGAAACCGAGUGAUCUAGGCAUGACCAGGAUGAAGGUAAGGUAACACUUACUGGAGGUCCGAACCCACACCUGUUGAAAAAGGUCGGGAUGAGUUGUGCCUAGGGGUGAAAGGCCAAUCAAACUCGGAGAUAGCUGGUUCUCUGCGAAAUCUAUUUAGGUAGAGCGUCAUCCGAAUACCCUCGGGGGUAGAGCACUGGAUGGGUAAUGGGGCCCCACAGGCUUACUGAUCCUAACCAAACUCCGAAUACCGAGGAGUACUAGAUGGCAGACACACUGCGGAUGCUAACGUCCGUAGUGAAGAGGGAAACAACCCUGACCUCCAGCUAAGGCCCCUAAUUCAUGGCUAAGUGGGAAAGCAGGUGGGACGACCAAAACAACCAGGAGGUUGGCUUAGAAGCAGCCAUCCUUUAAAGAUAGCGUAACAGCUCACUGGUCUAAUCAAGUUGUCCUGCGGCGAAGAUGUAACGGGGCUCAAGCCAUGAGCCGAAGCUGAGGAUGCCGUAAGGCAUGGUAGCAGAGCGUAGUGUGACAUAGUUCCAUGUGUCCUUACCUUCUUCGGAAGGAUUGGACACAAGGAGCUUUCGAUGAAGCCGGGGCGUGAGCCAUCCGGUGGAGAGAUCACUAGCGAGAAUGAUGACAUGAGUAGCGACAAAGAGUGUGAGAGACACUCUCGCCGAAAGUCCAAGGGUUCCUGCUUAAAGCUAAUCUGAGCAGGGUAAGCCGACCCCUAAGGCGAGGCCGAAAGGCGUAGUCGAUGGGAACCAGGUUAAUAUUCCUGGGCCAGGAGGAUGUGACGGAUUGUGAAGGUUGUUUGCCCUUAUCGGAUUGGGCAGGCCGCUGAUCAGUUCCUGGAAAUAGCCCUCCGUGAGAUCGUACCCUAAACCGACACAGGUGGACUGGUAGAGAAUACCAAGGCGCUUGAGAGAACUAUGUUGAAGGAACUCGGCAAAAUACCUCCGUAAGUUCGCGAGAAGGAGGCCCAGUUUCUACGUAAGUAUUGGCUGGGGGCACAAACCAGGGGGUGGCGACUGUUUAUUAAAAACACAGGGCUCUGCGAAGUCGCAAGACGACGUAUAGGGUCUGACGCCUGCCCGGUGCCUGAAGGUUAAAAGGAGAGGUGAGAGCCUUGAAUUGAAGCCCAGGUAAACGGCGGCCGUAACUAUAACGGUCCUAAGGUAGCGAAAUUCCUUGUCGGGUAAGUUCCGACCUGCACGAAUGGCGUAACGACUUCCCCGCUGUCUCCAACAUAGACUCAGCGAAAUUGAAUUACCUGUCAAGAUGCAGGUUUCCCGCGGUUAGACGGAAAGACCCCGUGCACCUUUACUACAGCUUCGCACUGGCAUCAGGAUUGUGAUGUGCAGGAUAGGUGGUAGGCUUUGAAGCAGGAACGCUAGUUCUUGUGGAGCCACCCUUGAGAUACCACCCUUCGCACUCUUGAUGUCUAACCGCGGUCCGUUAUCCGGAUCCGGGACCCUGCGUGGCGGGUAGUUUGACUGGGGCGGUCGCCUCCUAAAGCGUAACGGAGGCGCGCGAAGGUUGGCUCAGAGCGGUCGGAAAUCGCUCGUUGAGUGCAAUGGCAGAAGCCAGCCUGACUGCAAGACUGACAAGUCGAGCAGAGUCGAAAGACGGCCAUAGUGAUCCGGUGGUCCCGAGUGGAAGGGCCAUCGCUCAACGGAUAAAAGGUACGCCGGGGAUAACAGGCUGAUACUGCCCAAGAGUCCAUAUCGACGGCAGUGUUUGGCACCUCGAUGUCGGCUCAUCUCAUCCUGGGGCUGGAGCAGGUCCCAAGGGUACGGCUGUUCGCCGUUUAAAGAGGUACGUGAGCUGGGUUUAGAACGUCGUGAGACAGUUCGGUCCCUAUCUGCCGUGGGUGUAGGAUACUUGAGAGGAGUUGCCCCUAGUACGAGAGGACCGGGGUGAACGAUCCACUGGUGGACCAGUUGUUAUGCCAAUAGCAGUGCUGGGUAGCUACGAUCGGACAGGAUAACCGCUGAAGGCAUCUAAGCGGGAAGCCCCCCUCAAAACAAGGUAUCCCUGAGAGCCGUGGUAGACCACCACGUCGAUAGGCCAGAGAUGUAAGUGCAGCAAUGCAUUCAGUUGACUGGUACUAAUUGCUCGAUAGGCUUGAUUUGA